UUGUUCUGAUCGUAAAUUUUUAGGAAUUGAUCCAAAGUGGGGGGGAUUAAUGGGAACCAUAGACCUUAGAGCUGCUGCAGAUGGAAACUUGAUUGCGGAUCUUAGUAGUCAAGUUCACCAGCUCCCUUGCUGCAUUAGAUUCGAUGGUCCUGCUGAAGUUUCCCACUAUUUCAAGCCUAAUUCCAGUGAGGUUGAAAUUGAUGGAGUAAGAACGGAAGAAGCUCAUUUCAGAGGAAGGAAGUUGCAGGGAGCAACUAUCUCACUCCCUAGUGGCUAUUCUGGUUUUGUGCUUGGACAAGCGAGUAACCUGAAUGCUAAUGGAAAGAGAAAAGCUUCUAGUAUCACGGACGAGAACCCGUGUUGGGAAGCUAAGGCCAAAUUCGAUAACCUGACAUACUGGAAUCACGAUAACCUCCCUUCAAAAGACGAUACUUUUGUGCGGUCUUUUCAUUGGUUUAACAUUGCAGAAGCGCUGCACAAGCCAGUGAAAGUUGAAGACUUGGUUGCAGCAGUCUCACAUGGUGGAAAGGAUCAACUAUGAAAGUGGCAUUAGAACGUUGAACAAAACAUAAAACCAAUGCAGAUGAACUUCGUUUUCUAUUCUUGGGUUUUAUGUUGAUGAUUCACUGAAGAGAUUGCAAUUUCGUAAGGUUCGUUGUUGUGGUGUGAGGUGAGGGUCUCAAAAGAGAAAAUGGAGUUCAGGAGAUUAGAUCCGUGAUUGAGAGAUUUAUGCGUUAUAAUGAACUAUUUCAACAACCUCUGCGUCAAGUCAAGAAAAGCUGAGUGUUGUUAAGAGUUCUAUCCAAACCUCCGAUUCUGGUUUCAGAGUGGUUCCAACGAAGGAACUCUGUCGAGUUCAUCCCCAGAAACCUAAUUUGUUGGCUUCUAAAGGUGUAAUUGAUGCACAAGCCAAGCCUCCUCACAGGAGAUUUGGUAGGAGUUAUGAUCAGCAAAACUUGAAGUCGACGAAGCUGAGACAUCGUCAUAUUCAUACAAGUGUAAGUGUUGAUCCUCUGAAACCCAAAAUGGAGGAAAAGAAAGAGAAUUCUCAGAGAUAUUUUACUCCUCUUGGUUUCAGUAGUGGUUCUUCUCAUUUGGGAUAUAGGAAGAAGGGAAAGACUUUUUACUUGAGAAGACUUCCAAGGAAAUGAAAUGAAUAAUAAAUUUUGUGAUGGUACUACUUCAUUUGGUCAGAAGGAGAGAGUUGUGAGAGAACUUAAAUCCAUUUUGAUGGCUAGUACAUCUAGGGAAAAAGUUGCAGCAGAUGUGAAGCUCAGGGAUUCAUCUUCUUCAGGUUUCAUUAGCAAGGAUAAAAACGAUGAUUGCUCCAAUGCAUCUCCGGAAUGUCAGACGAACUCGGAAGAAGCUCAUCAACCUAGUCCUGUUUCUGUUCUGGAGCCAAUUUUUUACGAAGAUAACUUAGACGACAGUGAAGAUCUCGAUUUUCAAAGUAAGGGAAAGCAGCCUCUAGGUAAGCCUUGGUUUCUGACUUUCAGAAUAAGGAUGAGAUCAAAGCAGCAGUGGUAAGUAUUUUCACCAAUCUUUGAGACAAAAGUUUCCUACCCUUCUCUUAAUAUAUGCCACUAUACAAGGCACAGUUGUUUUGAAAAUUAUGUGCCGUGAAACUUGUAAAUCGCAAAGAGAAGUUAUAAAAAAAAGAAUCUAUACUGUCAUUGUAUGUUAAAAUCUUUAGUCCUUUCAAUCUAUAGAAAUGAUUACUAGUCCUUGAUUUUUUUUGUGUGUUCAUGGAUUUGCAGCUGUCAAUACGAGCUGCUGGUGUUGGGAUAACUUUAACAGCUGCAAGCAACUGUUAUCUUUGCCGAGCUGUCAUGGACUCCGGGUGACCUUACUCAGUCAGAAGAUCGUGUGGUCAGGUCUCUUCAGUUAACAUAUACUACCUUAGCAAAUGAUACUGUUGACGGUUCUUUCUCAUUCACAUUUACCUUUGAAAGUUCAAUGAAUUCUCCAAAGUCAGUUCUUCCUCACUGAAUUUUCGUAAUAUUGGUCCAUUCUUUGCAUAGGGAUACUGUCCAAAACAAGCUGGAUAAUCUUGGACAGAUGCUUGAUGGAGAAGAGAAUGCUUUGGAGGUUUCAUCUAGUCAUACGAUGAACAGUCCAACAAAAGCAAGAAACAACCCUACAAAGCAGCAAACUCUAGAGCCGUUCUUGAAGCGCUGCAAAAGAUUAGAUGACGAAACCGAGGAACAUCAACCCAGACCCAAAGUUCUCAGACACUGAAAGUAAAAACAUGCAAGAUCGCAGCAGUGUUUUUGUUGCUUGCAUAAACACAUGACCUUUUGGGUAAAAUGACCAUUUGUAAUAUUCGCAAACAAAUGAUCUUUAACUGUGUAGUAGUUUCAAGAUCACGGAUCGUUAGGGCUUGUAUUUUCCAGUGGUGUUUGCUUAAGUUGAUCUUUCUUUACA